rnacentral:rRNA from 1 species
GACGAACGCUGGCGGCGUGCCUAAUACAUGCAAGUUGAGCGCUGAAGGCUGGUACUUGUACCAACUGGAUGAGCAGCGAACGGGUGAGUAACGCGUGGGGAAUCUGCCUUUGAGCGGGGGACAACAUUUGGAAACGAAUGCUAAUACCGCAUAAAAACUUUAAACACAAGUUUUAAGUUUGAGAGAUGCAAUUGCAUCACUCAAAGAUGACCCCGCGUUGUAUUAGCUAGUUGGUGAGGUAAAGGCUCACCAAGGCGAUGAUACAUAGCCGACCUGAGAGGGUGGUCGGCCGCAUUGAGACUGAGACACGGCCCAAACUCAUACGGGAGGCAGCAGUAGGGCAUCUUCGGCCAUGGGCGGAAGUCUGACCGAGAAACGCGGCGUGAGUGAGGAGGGUUUUCGGGUCGUAGAACUCUGUUGGUAGGGAAGAACGUUGGUGAGAGUGGAAAGCUCAUCAAGUGACGGUAACUACCCAGAAAGGAACGGCUAACUACGUG